GACGAACGCUGGCGGCGCGCCUAACACAUGCAAGUCGAACGGAGUCAAGAGGAGCUUGCUUUUCUUGACUUAGUGGCGAACGGGUGAGUAACGCGUGAGUAACCUGCCCUGGAGUGGGGGACAACAGUUGGAAACGACUGCUAAUACCGCAUAAGCCCACGGAUCUGCAUGGAUCUGCGGGAAAAGGAUUUAUUCGCUCUAGGAUGGACUCGCGUCCAAUUAGCUAGUUGGUGAGGUAACGGCCCACCAAGGCGACGAUUGGUAGCCGGACUGAGAGGUUGAACGGCCACAUUGGGACUGAGACACGGCCCAGACUCCUACGGGAGGCAGCAGUGGGGGAUAUUGCACAAUGGGGGAAACCCUGAUGCAGCGACGCCGCGUGGAGGAAGAAGGUUUUCGGAUUGUAAACUCCUGUCGUUAGGGACGAUAAUGACGGUACCUAACAAGAAAGCACCGGCUAACUACGUG
rnacentral:rRNA from 1 species